GACGAACGCUGGCGGCGUGCUUAACACAUGCAAGUCGAACGGAAAGGCCCUGCUUUUGUGGGGUGCUCGAGUGGCGAACGGGUGAGUAACACGUGAGUAACCUGCCCUUGACUUUGGGAUAACUUCAGGAAACUGGGGCUAAUACCGGAUAGCAGCUCCUGCUGCAUGGUGGGGGUUGGAACGUUUCGGCGGUCGGGGAUGGACUCGCGGCUUAUCAGCUUGUUGGUGGGGGAGUGGCUUACCAAGGCUUUGACGGGUAGCCGGCCUGAGAGGGUGACCGGCCACAAUGGGACUGAGAUACGGCCCAGACGCCUACGUUAGGCAGAAGUGGGGAAUAUUGCACAAUGGGCGGGAGCCUGAUGCAGCGACGCCGCGUGCGGGAUGACGGCCUUCGGGUUGUAAACCGCUUUCGCCUGUUACGAAGCGUGAGUGACGGUAAUGGGUAAAGAAGCACCGGCUAACUACGUG
rnacentral:rRNA from 1 species